AACGAACGCUGGCGGCAUGCCUAAUACAUGCAAGUCGAAUGAUCACUUCGGUGGUAGUGGCGCACGGGUGCGUAACGCGUGGGAAUCUGCCCUUGGGUUCGGAAUAACGUCGGGAAACUGACGCUAAUACCGGAUGAUGACGUAAGUCCAAAGAUUUAUCGCCCAGGGAUGAGCCCGCGUAGGAUUAGCUAGUUGGUGGGGUAAAGGCCUACCAAGGCGACGAUCCUUAGCUGGUCUGAGAGGAUGAUCAGCCACACUGGGACUGAGACACGGCCCAGACUCCUACGGGAGGCAGCAGUAGGGAAUAUUGGACAAUGGGGGCAACCCUGAUCCAGCAAUGCCGCGUGAGUGAUGAAGGCCUUAGGGUUGUAAAGCUCUUUUACCCCGGAUGAUAAUGACAGUACCGGGAGAAUAAGCCCCGGCUAACUCCGUGCCAGCCGCCGCAGUAA
rnacentral:rRNA from 1 species